UACGUAGGGGGCAAGCGUUAUCCGGAUUUACUGGGUGUAAAGGGAGCGCAGGCGGCGCGGCAAGCCUGAUGUGAAAGCCCGCGGCCCAACCGCGGGACUGCAUUGGGAACUACCGGGCUGGAGUGCCGGAGAGGUAGGCGGAAUUCCUAGUGUAGCGGUGAAAUGCGUAGAUAUUAGGAGGAACACCAGUGGCGAAGGCGGCCUACUGGACGGUGACUGACGCUGAGGCUCGAAAGCGUGGGGAGCAAACAGG
rnacentral:rRNA from 1 species